rnacentral:lncRNA from 1 species
CUGAUUGUUACAUGGUUGGUCCGGUUCAUUUAUUGGUAAAUCCAAUAUCAUUUUUUCAAUGUAACCCCAAUAUGCUAACCUUUGUUCUUUUUGUACUUGUUUUUUCAGAUGUUUGUACUUGUCUGCAUACUUGGUGUUUUGUUUCAUUUUAUAAUAUAAUUUAUUUUUUCUAUUUAUCAUUUUCCUAAGGUUGUUAUGAAUCCAAGGUAGUCUGUUUUUGUAUGUUAGGAACUUGUGUGGGAUGUUGUUUUCCACUGAUUGUGUAAGAUUUGUUUUAAAUGUGUUCCACAUAUCAUUUACAUUUGUUUUGUCCUGUAGGUUUUGUAGAUCAUUGUAUGUUUUUUCUAGAUCUAACUUUAUGUUAUCCCAGUUAGCUUUAUUGUAUUUUAGUAUUUUUCUGGGUUUUUCUCUCACCCUGCGUAACCAGAUGUCAGAUUCUACAUAGACAAUGUCGUGGUCACUAAGGCCUAUUGGUGGUAGUGUACUGACUUUGUUAAUGUUAGAAGGAUUAUUGACGAGUACUAAGUCCAGGAUUCUUUCUUUACGUGUUGGUAUGUUAACUAUUUGGUGUAAAUUAUGAUCAUAAAGAAGUUCUAAAAGUGAAUUAUGUUGUUCUUGAUCUGGUUUCCCUGAUAUUACUUCAGGGACAGACCAGUCA